rnacentral:rRNA from 1 species
UCAAGCGAAGAAAGGUUUAUGGUGGAUGCCUGGGAGCUGUAAGGCGAAGAAGGCCGUGAUAAGCUGCGAAAAGCUCGGGGGAGGAGCACAUAUCCAGAGAUCCCGAGAUAGCCGAAUGGGGUAACCCGUUAUUCGAGAGAAUAACAUCACACGAGCUGAAUAAAAUAGGCCGGUGAAGCAAGACUGGGUGAAGUGAACCAUCUAAGUAACCCGGGAACAGAAAAUAAUAAUGAUUCCGAAAGUAGCGGCGAGCGAAAUCGGAGGAGCCCAAACCGCAGAAAUGCGGGGUUGUAGGGCCGUAUGGGCGUAAGCCGAAGAGUUAGGAGAAAAUGUAUUUAUAGUGGAAAUGUCUGGGAAGGCAUGUCAGAGAGGGUGAAAGCCCCGUACACGAAAUGAAUACAACUCUUUAGUACGGUACCUGAGUACGGCGGGGCACGAGAAACCCUGUCGGAAUCCGGGUCGACCACGAUCCAAGGCUAAAUACUAGACAGCUACCGAUAGUGAACAAGUACCGUGAGGGAAAGGCGAAAAGAACCCCGGUGAGGGGAGUGAAAUAGAACCUGAAACCAUAAACCAACAAGAUGUUGCAGCCCCUUUUUGGGGUGGCAGCGUGCCUUUUGUAGAAUGAACCUGCGAGUUACGGUAUGCAGCAAGGUUAAGUGAUAGAAGUCACGGAGCCGAAGGGAAACCGAGUCUGAAGAGGGCGCGGCAAGCUAACGCUUGCUUGAAGUUGCAUGUCGUAGACCCGAAGCCAAGGUGAUCUAGUCAUGAGCAGGUUGAAGCUCAGGUAAGACUUGAGUGGAGGACCGAACUAUAAUCUGUUAAAAAAGGUAUGGAUGACUUGUGACUCGGAGUGAAAGGCUAAACAAACCUGGAAAUAGCUGGCUCUCCCCGAAAUGCCUUUAGGGACAGCCUCAUACAAAAUUACCGGAGGUAAAGCACUGGAUGGACUAGGGGGCUUCACCGCCUACCAAACCCAAUCAAACUCAGAAUGCCGGAAAUCAACGUAUGGGAGUGAGACUGUGUGCGACAAGGUUCGUAGUCAAGAGGGAAACAGCCCAGACCAACAGCUAAGGUCCCGAAAUACCGCUCAGUGUAAAAUGAUGUGUAAGUACAAAGACAGCCAGGAGGUUGGCUUAGAAGCAGCCAUUCCUUAAAAGAGUGCGUAAUAGCUCACUGGUCGAGUACUUAUGCGCAGAUAAUGUAACGGGGCUAAGCGGUAUACCGAAGCUAUGGAUCAGCAUGAAAACAUGCUGGUGGUAGGGGAGCAUUCCAUGGACUGAUGAAGGCUGUUUGUAAGAACAGCUGGAGGGGAUGGAAGAGAGAAUGCAGGUAUAAGUAACGAAAAGACGGGUGAGAUCCCCGUCCGCCGAAAACCUAAGGUUUCCUGGGUAAAGGUAAUCUGCCCAGGGUAAGUCGGCCCCUAAGGCGAGGACGAAAGUCGUAGUCGAUGGGAAACUGGUUCAAAGUCCAGUACCUUCUGCAAUUUCGAAGGCAUGACGCAUGAGGUGAAACCCGGCCGGAGAACGGUAGUUCCGGUCGAAGCAGGCGAGCCGUUAAAGAGCUAUAGGCAAAUCCGUAGCUCCAGGUGAGCAGUGACAGCGAGCGGAGAGAAAGUCGAAGCGAAGCGGGUGUAAUCAGGGUGCCGGGAAAGAAUGUCUAAGGCUCGGUUGCAGAGGACCGUACCGUAAACCGACACAGGUAGGUGGGAUGAGAAAUCUCAGGCGCACGAGAGAACUCGCGUUAAGGAACUCGGCAAAAUGCACACGUAACUUCGGGAGAAGUGUGGCCCCUGUUUGGUCAAAAAAGUGGGGGCGGCACAGAGCAGGCCCAGGCGACUGUUUAUCAAAAACACAGCCAUCUGCGAAUCAGUAAUGAGAUGUAUAGGUGGUGACACCUGCCCGGUGCCGGAAGGUUAAGAGGAGCGGUUAGAGGAAACUCGAAGCUGUGAAUUGAAGCCCCGGUAAACGGCGGCCGUAACUAUAACGGUCCUAAGGUAGCGAAAUUCCUUGUCGGGUAAGUUCCGACCCGCACGAAUUCUGGGCACUGUCUCAACGCGAGACUCGGUGAAAUUUAUAUACCGGUAAAGAAGCCGGUUACCCACAGUUAGACGGAAAGACCCCGUGAACCUUCACCGUAACUUACUAUUGGGACCUGGUUUAUCAUGUGUAGAAUAGGUGGGAGACUGUGAACUGUGACCGUCAGGCUGCAGGGAGUCGAAAAGUGAAAUACCACCCUUGAUGAACUAGGUUUCUAACCCUGGCCAUGAAGCUGGUCAGGGGACAAUGGUAGGCAGGCGGUUUGACUGGGGCGGUCGCCUCCUAAAGAGUAACGGAGGUGCGCGAAGGUCUCCUCGCGCCGGUUGGAAAUCGGCGCAUGAGUGUAAAGGCACAAGGAGGCUUGACUGCGAGACUGACAGGUCGAGCAGGUACGAAAGUAGGUCUUAGUGAUCUGGUGGUUGCGAGUGGAAGCGCCAUCACUUAACGGAUAAAAGGUACUCCGGGGAUAACAGGCUGAUCUUCCCCAAGAGUUCACAUCGACGGGAAGGUUUGGCACCUCGAUGUCGGCUCAUCG